AACCUCCGCAAUGUGAGAAAUCGCGACGGGGGGAUCCCAAGUGCCAUUCUUAACGGGAUGGCUUUUCAUUAGUGUAAAGAGCUUUUGGAAUAAGAGCUGGGCAAGACCGGUGCCAGCCGCCGCGGUAACACCGGCAGCUCUAGUGGUAGCAAUUUUUAUUGGGCCUAAAGCGUCCGUAGCCGGUUUAAUAAGUCUCUGGUGAAAUCCUGUAGCUUAACUGUGGGAAUUGCUGGAGAUACUAUUAGACUUGAGACCGGGAGAGGUUAGAGGUACUCCCAGGGUAGAGGUGAAAUUCUGUAAUCCUGGGAGGACCGCCUGUUGCGAAGGCGUCUAACUGGAACGGUUCUGACGGUGAGGGACGAAAGUUAGGGGCGCGAACCGGAUUAGAUACCCGGGUAGUCCUAACUGUAAACGAUGCGGACUUGGUGUUGGGGUGGCUUUGAGCUGCUUCAGUGCCGAAGGGAAGCUGUUAAGUCCGCCGCCUGGGAAGUACGGUCGCAAGACUGAAACUUAAAGGAAUU
rnacentral:rRNA from 1 species